GAUGAACGCUGGCGGCGUGCCUAAUACAUGCAAGUCGAGCGAACGGACGAGAAGCUUGCUUCUCUGAUGUUAGCGGCGGACGGGUGAGUAACACGUGGAUAACCUACCUAUAAGACUGGGAUAACUUCGGGAAACCGGAGCUAAUACCGGAUAAUAUUUUGAACCGCAGGGUUCAAAAGUGAAAGACGGUCUUGCUGUCACUUAUAGAUGGAUCCGCGCUGCAUUAGCUAGUUGGUAAGGUAACGGCUUACCAAGGCAACGAUGCAUAUCCGACCUGCGAGGGUGAUCGGCCACACUGGAACUGAGACACGGUCCAGACGCCUACGGGAGGCAGCAGUAGGGAAUCUUCCGCAAUGGGCGAAAGCCUGACGGAGCAACGCCGCGUGAGUGAUGAAGGUCUUCGGAUCGUAAAACUCUGUUAUUAGGGAAGAACAUAUGUGUAAGUAACUGUGCACAUCUUGACGGUACCUAAUCAGAAAGCCACGGCUAACUACGUG
rnacentral:rRNA from 1 species